rnacentral:sRNA from 1 species
GCUGGGUGUAGUGGAGUAUGCCUGUAAUCCCAGCAGCUCAGGAGGCUGAGGCAGGAAGAUCUUGAGUUCAAAGCCAGCCUCAG